UACGUAGGCAGCAAGCGUUGUUCGGAGUUACUGGGCGUAAAGAGUGCGUAGGCGGUCUGGCAAGUUCGGUGUGAAAUCUCCCGGCUUAACUGGGAGGGUGCGCCGAAGACUGUUGGGCUGGAGUGUGGGAGAGGCAAGCGGAAUUCCUGGUGUAGCGGUGAAAUGCGUAGAUAUCAGGAGGAACACCGGCGGUGUAGGCGGCUUGCUGGACCAUAACUGACGCUGAGGCACGAAAGCGUGGGGAGCAAAC
rnacentral:rRNA from 1 species